CACGUAGGGUGCGAGCGUUGUCCGGAAUUAUUGGGCGUAAAGAGCUCGUAGGCGGUCUGUCGCGUCGGCUGUGAAAUCCCGAGGCUCAACCUCGGGUCUGCAGUCGAUACGGGCAAACUGGAGUGUUGCAGGGGAGACUGGAAUUCCUGGUGUAGCGGUGAAAUGCGCAGAUAUCAGGAGGAACACCGGUGGCGAAGGCGGGUCUCUGGGCAACAACUGACGCUGAGGAGCGAAAGCGUGGGGAGCGAACAGG
rnacentral:rRNA from 1 species